UGGGGAAUCUUGGACAAUGGGCGCAAGCCUGAUCCAGCCAUGCCGCGUGAGUGAAGAAGGCCUUCGGGUUGUAAAGCUCUUUUACCAGGGACGAUAAUGACGGUACCUGGAGAAUAAGCCCCGGCAAACUUCGUGCCAGCAGCCGCGGUAAUACGAAGGGGGCUAGCGUUGUUCGGAAUUACUGGGCGUAAAGCGCACGUAGGCGGAUUUGUCAGUCAGGGGUGAAAUCCCGGGGCUCAACCUCGGAACUGCCUUUGAAACUAGGUCGCUAGAAUCACGGAGAGGUGAGUGGAAUUCCGAGUGUAGAGGUGAAAUUCGUAGAUAUUCGGAAGAACACCAGUGGCGAAGGCGGCUCACUGGACGUGUAUUGACGCUGAGGUACGAAAGCGUGGGGAGCAAACAGGAUUAGAUACCCACGUAGUCCCUGAGCGGGCUGGCAAGGCGCAU
rnacentral:rRNA from 1 species